rnacentral:rRNA from 1 species
UACGGAGGGUGCAAGCAUUAAUCGGAUUUACUGGGCGUAAAGGGCGCGUAGGCUGGCGGAUAAGUCAGAUGUGAAAUCCCGGGGCUCAACCCCGGAACAGCAUAUGAAACUAUCCACCUAGAGGGUAGGCGGAGAAAACGGAAUUCCACAAGUAGCGGUGAAAUGCGUAGAUAUGUGGAAGAACACCGGUGGCGAAGGCGGUUUUCUAGCUUAUACCUGACGCUGAGGCGCGAAAGCAAGGGGAGCAAACAGG